rnacentral:rRNA from 1 species
AUUGAACGCUGGCGGCAGGCCUAACACAUGCAAGUCGAGCGGAUGAAGGGAGCUUGCUCCUGGAUUCAGCGGCGGACGGGUGAGUAAUGCCUAGGAAUCUGCCUGGUAGUGGGGGAUAACGUCCGGAAACGGGCGCUAAUACCGCAUACGUCCUGAGGGAGAAAGUGGGGGAUCUUCGGACCUCACGCUAUCAGAUGAGCCUAGGUCGGAUUAGCUAGUUGGUUGGGUAAAGGCCUACCAAGGCGACGAUCCGUAACUGGUCUGAGAGGAUGAUCAGUCACACUGGAACUGAGACACGGUCCAGACUCCUACGGGAGGCAGCAGUGGGGAAUAUUGGACAAUGGGCGAAAGCCUGAUCCAGCCAUGCCGCGUGUGUGAAGAAGGUCUUCGGAUUGUAAAGCACUUUAAGUUGGGAGGAAGAGCAGUAAGUUAAUACCUUGCUGUUUUGACGUUACCAACAGAAUAAGCACCGGCUAACUACGUG